UUGGGCGUAAGCGCGCGCAGGCGGUCCUUUAAGUCUGAUGUGAAAUCCCCGGGCUCAACCCCGGAUCGUCCUUGGAAACUGAUGAACUUGAUUGCGCAAAAAGAGAAGUGGAAUUCCCCGUGUAGCGGUGAAAUGCGUAAAAAUGUGAAGGAACACCAUUGGCGAAGGCAACCCCUUGGUCUGUAACUGACCCUGAGGCGCGAAAGCGUGGGGAGCAAACAGGAUUAAAUACCCUGGUAGUCCACGCCGUAAACAAUGAUUGCUAGUUGUUAGAGGGUUUCCGCCCUUUAUGGCUGCAUUAACCCCUUUAGUCACUCCCCCGGGGAAUUCCGGCCCCAGAGUUAAACUCCAAAGAAUUGGCCGGGACCCCCC
rnacentral:rRNA from 2 species